ensembl:lncRNA
GUCUGCGUAAGGCCGGGGCCUAGUUUCGUGCUGGGGAAGCAGCUGGCUCUGGUUACAGGAUUAAGUCCAGCGUAAGGCCAGGGCCCAGUUUUGUUCUGGGGAGGCAGCUGGCUCUGUGAACAUCCUGCAGGUACUUUUUACUACAGAGAAGCGUGAACGGAUCCUGUCAGAAGCCCAGUAAAAUGUGCCAGGGGUGGAUGGGAGGCCCACAAUACAGCCUAACCUCAUUGAGGAGGGAUUCCCCUUGGUGCGACCCAACUGGGACUUCGAACGUGCUGAAGGUCGACGGUAUCGGGCCUUGGGUGCAUUGCAACCACGUACGCCCAGCUGCUUCAGCAGAGCAAAAAGACGCUAAAAAAAAAUGGAAAGCAUCUCUGCACCCGUCCAACCC